GCAACCCUUAUCAUUAGUUGCUAACAUUCAGUUGAGAACUCUAAUGAGACUGCCAGUGAUAAACUGGAGGAAGGUGGGAUGACGUCAAAUCAUCAUGCCCCUUAUGACCUGGGCUACACACGUGCUACAAUGGCCGGUACAAAGAGUUGCGAAACUGUGAAGUUAAGCUAAUCUCAUAAAGCCGGUCUCAGUUCGGAUUGUAGUCUGCAACUCGACUACAUGAAGUCGGAAUCGCUAGUAAUCGCGAAUCAGAAUGUCGCGGUGAAUACGUUCUCGAGUCUU
rnacentral:rRNA from 1 species